rnacentral:rRNA from 1 species
CCUACGGGAGACAGCAGUGGGGAAUAUUGGGCAAUGGGCGCAAGCCUGACCCAGCAACGCCGCGUGAGCGAUGAAGGUCUUCGGAUUGUAAAGCUCUGUCGCAGGGGACGAAGUAUGACGGUACCCUGUAAGAAAGCCCCGGCAAACUACGUGCCAGCAGCCGCGGUAAUACGUAGGGGGCUAGCGUUGUCCGGAAUUACUGGGCGUAAAGGGAGUGUAGCCGGGCUGACAAGUCAGAUGUGAAAUCCGGGGGCUCAACCCCCGAACUGCAUUUGAACCUGUUGGUCUUGAGUAUCGGAGAGGCAGGCGGAAUUCCUAGUGUAGCGGUGAAAUGCGUAGAUAUUAGGAGGAACACCAGUGGCGAAGGCGGCCUGCUGGACGACAACUGACGGUGAGGCGCGAAAGCGUGGGGAGCAAACAGGAUUAGAUACCCCAGUAGUC